UCGUACCCCAAAAGCAGCGGCAAGGAUCAAGCGAGAGGGGCACCGAAUGGGGCCAAGUAUGCCAAAAUCCUGCUGACUGCUGCCACUGCCAUUCUUGAAGGGUAUGGUGGCAGGUUGCUGAUAUGUUUAGCCAGGGUCCUUUGGUCAGUAAGGCGCUUGUCUUCCCCUAAGGAUGCAUUCCUGUCAACAAGGUGGCUCAUUGGCAUUCUGCUGUGAAGAUGGAAGAAAUCUGCCUGUAGCAACACAGCAAUGGCAAGCUACCGUUUGACUCCCUCUGGGAAGCCGUGACCACCACCUCUCUGCCUGAAUAGAGGGUCCAGCCCUGGGGCUUAUGUCUGCCUGGUAUCUUUGUGGGAAGAGAAUAAGGAAGUAUGAAGACGCAGAGGAAAAACAUGUCUUCAGGAACUUAUUUCGUAAGGUAUUGUGGUCCUCAGGAA